AGGUUGUUUAUUCUGUUUAUCUCUAACAUGUUCUGCUGCCCUGCCGCAGCUCUGUCCUGCAGGGCAGCGUGUGGGGCUCUGCCCUCAGUGGGAUGGUACAAACAUUAAAUACCACAAAAUACCUGUGCUGGAUUUACAAUAACGUGCCAAUAUCUGUCACCUACGUUGGACAGUGUGUCCCCAGCCUAAACCAACAGAAAAAUGCCAACACCACAGUGAAACAUGGAGGGCAUGAAGAAGGAGGAAAAGGACAAGGCACACCCAAUUUCCUCCAUCUUGUCCCCUUUGGACCCCUAAUCUAGAAACCUAAAAUUUUACUUUUGCACCCGUGCCACACUUAAUUAUUACUUAUAUCAAACACUCAGAGCUUGUAAUUCAUCCUGUAAGAUUGAAAACUCUUUUCCAUGGACAGAGAUCACAGGCAGUGUCUCUGGGGGCUCUGUCCAGGGGGGUUCCUGACCCCUGCCAGGGUCCCAGACCUGCCAGGGCAGCCAGAGGGAAGCCCUGGAUUCCCACAGUGACUAAUUAAACAAACUGGAGUUCCCUGCCAACAAACCCCGGCCAUCUGCCUCGUCCUCCGGCUCCAUCCCAAGGAAUGCUCCACCAAGGAGCCCCUUUCCCCUCACCUAAGCGCUGCCAGCCCUCUGGCUGUCGGGAUAUGCUUUGGGAUGGCCGUGGAGCCGUGAGGAUGCACCAUCUGCCGCGCCGGGUGCGCGUCUCGCACGGGAACGCGGAGCGAGUCUCCCGCGGCACGAGGAGCUCCGGGUGGGAACGCCGUGCGCUCACACCCCGCUAAUUUAAGGCUUGCCAAGCUGGCUGUGCCAAGAACGCCUCCCAGGUUUUGCAUUUUGCAUGUCUAAAGUGGGAAAGGCAGCGAUGGGAAGGAUAUUUAGGGCUGAAGCAGUAAAUGCAUCCCUCUGUGAGGCUGGGCAGGGCGGUGGGAAAUGGUGUCUCCCCACAACAGCAAGCUGUGGUGGAAAAGAGUAAAAGGAUCAAAGCCACGAUUUCUGUCCUGUGCUGCAGGAGAUACCAAAACCAUGCUUACUAAUUGAUCCAAAAAUAAUCACCCAGAAUUUAGGACCCCACAGUUCCCAUUCCCCAGAACGUCCCAAGGAGGCAGCUGUGGAGGAGUGAGACCCUGACGUAACAGCACACGCCUGAUGUUUGGAGGUUUCUAUGGUAAUUAAAAAACAGAUCUGUGACCCGUGGAAGAAAUUCCUUGCUGCAUUCCGUGCUCUUCAGGGCGGGUGCCCGUGCAGAUCCGUGCGAUGGAAGGAUCCUCAAGCUGGCUGGGAGCAAAUCUCCUUCCCUGACUGCAGUGGAGGCACUCACCAACACCCCCGUGGCCAACUCCCUUCCCAGCAGAUGGAGAAUCCAAAGUGCAGACCACGUGUCCUGGGAGCAAAGACACCCCACACAAAACACAAGGCAGAUUGAGUGGAGAAGCAGGGUAAUUCUCUUGUAUAAGGUAAUUCCUGUGGGACCUUGGGAUCUUUGCAGCUCCAGCUGGAGCAUUUCUGCAGGGCUGCAAGUCCCUGGGUGGGAAGCAGAGGCUGUCAGUGGUGCUGUGCAUCCGUGUUGUUGUGGGCUGGGACAGAGCAGAUGCUGGUCUGGGGUGGGUCAUGGAAUCACAGAAUAUCCUGAGCUGGAAGGGACCCACAGGUUCAUCCAGACCAACUCCUGAGGGCAUUGUCCAAAUGCUCCUGGAGCUCUGGCAGCUUUGGAGCUGUGACCAUUCCCUGGGGAGCCUGGGCAGUGUCCCACCACCCCUGGGGGAAGAACUUUUCCUGAUAUCCAACCUAAACCUGCCCUGACACAGCUCCAGCCAUUCCCUGUCACUGCCAUAGAGAGCAGAGAUGGAUGCUGCACCCUCCAUGAGGUCUCCCCUCAGCCUCCUCAUCUCCAGGGUCAGUAGAGCAACAUUUAGAUUUCUGUUUACUAUUUCAGAGGGAAAAUAAGAGGCCUGUGGUAAUAUUAGCCAAGCAGGUGGUCUAAGCAAAUUAGUGAAUCCUGAUGAUUCCCGAGUUCAAAGGAAGCAGUUGCUCAUCUCUGUGGAAGCUAUCUGAUAACAUAUUUAGCUGAAGAAAGGAUGAGUGUAUCCACCAGCACACAAUGGCCCAGAUUUCCUAGCUCAUUAAACCCAAAUAUUAGUGAAAAUACCAUGGUAAGCAAGCUGAGAUAAUUAAAUACAACAUCAUUUCCAUUUGUUCCUAAACAGUGUGGGAAUUGGCCACUGGGAUGGCAUCAUUUCUCUUACCUUGGGUGGUGAAGUGGAGCUGUAAAAUUCACAUAGAAAAACACCCUUUGAAAAGCAAACUUAAACCAAAAAGAAAUAGAAUAAAAUAAAAAAAUAAAAUGUAAACAAUAAAACCUAUAUGGAUCUGUAUUUCCAAACUGGAUGAGGCAGACAUUAAAAACUCAAAGAAUCCUUGAAGGAUUUGGGUUGGAAGGGACUUUAAAGACCAUCUUCCACCCUCAACAUGACCUUCCACAUGGAUCAGCUCUCAGUGUGGAUGUACAACCACUGCUCCUUAAGCCCUGUUAGUAGAAAAUGAAGUGUUACACAUCCCAAAUCCUGGUGAAAGCAGCAAGGGCUGACUCCUGUGAUGCUGGAGGCAGUGAUCACUGGGUGAUGGAAGAUGAGGGCUGGUAGGAAAAGCACAUUUAACUCUCUGGCUUGAGCUGCGACCGCAGAUCUGAAAGGGAAAGAGGAGUGGCAGCAUCUGGGUGCAAACACCUGGAAAAAGGAGCCCUGGGAAAUACUGGUUAGCAUGGAAAGGCUGCUCACAUUGUAUUUGUUUAGCCACUGUCAAGGGGUUGCUGUGAGAAGAUCCCAUGUCCUUUCUGAAAUGCUGGAAGUGCAUGGACAUUGUCUCUCCAGCAGUGAGAUGGGCUGGCUCACAGGGACCCCGGGGACACAGAGCCAACAAAAUAAAUCAGCUUAACUAAUGGUGCUCAAAACCCACCCCUGGCAAAUGUAUCACAGGCUGCUCUGGUGCCUGGAGAUGCCAACAGAAUCAAUGAUGGAGAGGAGCUGAGAGAGAAGGGGAUGCAAAAAGGGAUGUGAAGGAUUUCCAGUAAGUUUCACUGGGCUCUGUAAGUUUCAAACAACUCCUUGAAUAUCAACAUUGCAACAUCUGAUGGUCCCAUCGGCAGCAAUGAGUAUUUGCAGAAUGUGCCUUUGCAGGACUGAGAUCUCUCUGCAUGCUGGCCUUCAGGACAGCCUGGUUAUCAGCGCUGGGUUGUGGGGCACACAAUCCCAUUCCAUCCUUUCCAGCCAUUGGCAUGGGCAUGGAGAACAGCUCCACUCACACCUGGCACGAGGCUGCACCCCUGAGCAGCUCUGGGCCCCUCUUUGUGCACACCAACACCCCUAAAUGCCUGCCAGGCUGCUAACUCCCUACAUGGCUGUAUCCCAUAGCCAGCCUCAUAUUUACCUACAACACUGGGAUUUUUCCAGCCAUUGUUAUAGGACUUGGAGCUGACUGAGGCUGUGCUGCAAGCAGAUGGCCCUGAUGAAACAAGACCCUGAUCCCCACGGAGGCACCGUGCAACGGAGCUGCUCGAUUCCCCAGCUCCAGCAGCUCCAAGGCAGGCUUGGAUAUGUGCAUUAGCACGCUCCAUCGAGGAAAUUGCUUCCCUUGCUCCCCUAACCACCCCUCUCAAGCAACUCUCUUUGGAAGCCUGGUUCCAGCUCAAGACACGUGUCAGCAGCGCUGACACUGUGGCAGUUUUCCUAGUUAGUUAUUAAUAAUGGAGCAGCUGACAAAAAUAGAGUAAUUUAAGAAUAUCGUUAAAGGAGAGAGGAGGAGUUUCCAGGCUGGGUGAGGGUUUAGAUGUAGCCAGGCUGCUGGGGUGGAGGAAAACCUCAAUGCUUACACUUGGUGGAAUGGAAGGAGAUCCAAAUGUGGAAGAUGAACAGGGAGGAAAACAGCCCUCAUUGAUCCUCCUGCUUCUAGCUCUGAAUAACUUCAGCAAAAUCUGGGGAAGUGACAUCUAGGGCUGCAUGGCCUAAGAAGCAUGUGUGGGCACAGCUGGAAUAGAUGUAAAUGGAGAUGAUCCACUGAGACCUCUGAGGGCUGUUCUGCAUCUUGCCCAAGCCCUCCUCAUGACAGAGUGUUUGAAUGCUGUGAAAUUUGAUGGAGACUUUUUCAUUAAGAAGUUGGUGUCGAAAGGGAAAACUGGAGCUGGCAGACUCAUUCACACAUUUUUGUGUCUCUGGGAAGACACUUAAAGAUUGAAAGACUGGAAAAGUGGUAGUCAUUCUUUAAUGGGAAUUCACCAGCUCUUGGCAAAUACUCCUUUUUGGUCCUAUUGCAAAAUGUAAAGGUAAAUUCUCUCAAGUGUCAUUCAAGCUGUCUCAGUAGAGGAGGGUUUGGGUGAUAUUGCAGUCACUCCAGCCAGGGUUUGGCACUGAGCACCUGGGAGGAGAAAGGCAGCAGCUGGGUCUCAUGUAUGCAACCUUGUCUCAAGUAUGGCAGCAUCUGGUGAAUGAAAAUCAUUGCUUUUCAAGCUGUGCUGUGCCAUAAAUCACUGCCCUGGUCUUACUUUGAUCAAUGGAAUGUGCUGCCCCACAGGAC
ensembl:lncRNA